rnacentral:rRNA from 1 species
GGGUGGAUUUAUUAGAACAGAACCAACCGGCGGUGACUUCGGUUGCCUGUCGUUGCAUUCUGUGAUGACUCUGGAUAACUUUACUGAUCGCAGUCGGCCUUGUGUCGGCGACGGUCUUUCAAAUGUCUGCCCUAUCAAUUUUCGAUGGUAGGUGACCUGCCUACCAUGGUGAUAACGGGUAACGGGGAAUCAGGGUUCGAUUCCGGAGAGGGAGCCUGAGAAACGGCUACCACUUCCAAGGAAGGCAGCAGGCGCGCAAAUUACCCAAUCCCGGCACGGAGGGUAGUGACGAAAAAUACGGAUACGGGACUCAUUAGAGGCUCCGUAAUUCGAAUGAGUACAAUUUAAAUCCUUUAACGAGGAUCAACUGGAGGGAAGUCUGGUGCCAGCAGCCGCGGUAACUCCAGCUCCAGAAGCGUAUAUUAAAGUUGUUGCAGUUAAAAAGCUCGUAGUUGGAUCUGGGUCGCAUGGCUACAUGCCGUUGCUCGUAUUCCUGGCCUGGUUCACACCGGGACGGGUUUGUGAGUCGGUGUCGUGGUUGUGCAGCCUUCUGCCGUGUCUGUUUCGACAGGUGUUAGCAUGAUUGGUGGGUUCGUCCCUGCCUGAUCUGUUGACAUGCUUCCAAGGUGCCUUAACCGGGUCGUCGGGGGCGGACGGCACGUUUACUUUGAACAAAUUUGAGUGCUCAAAGCAGGCCCGUGUGCCUGAAAAUUCUUGCAUGGAAUAAUGGAAUAGGACUUCGGUUCUAUUUUGUUGGUUUUCGGAUCCGAAGUAAUGGUUAAAAGGGACAGACGGGGGCAUUUGUAUGGCGGUGUUAGAGGUGAAAUUCUUGGAUCACCGCCAGACAAACUACAGCGAAAGCAUUUGCCAAGGAUGUUUUCAUUGAUCUGGAGCGAAAGUCAGAGGUUCGAAGACGAUCAGAUACCGUCCUAGUUCUGACCAUAAACGAUGCCAACUGACGAUCCGUGGUGGCGCGAUUAUUGGCCCCGCGGGCAGCCCCCGGGAAACCUUUAAGUCUUUGGGCUCCGGGGGAAGUAUGGUUGCAAAGCUGAAACUUAAAGGAAUUGACGGA